UACGUAGGAUGCGAGCGUUGUCCGGAAUUAUUGGGCGUAAAGAGAACGUAGGCGGUUUGUUAAGUUUGGGCUUAAAGACUGGGGCUCAACCCCAGGAGUGGCUCGAAAACUGACAGACUAGAGGAUGGCAGAGGAAAGUGGAAUUCCCAGUGUAGCGGUGAAAUGCGUAGAUAUCGGGAGGAACACCAGUGGCGAAGGCGACUACCUGGCCUGUUCUUGACGCUGAGGCGCGAAAGCUAGGGGAGCAAACGGG
rnacentral:rRNA from 1 species